AAAUUACGGAUGUAGAAUAGGAGGGAGCUUUCGGGCGCUCGUGAAAUACCUCCGCCGAAAUAUUGAUUCACUAACUUGACUUU
rnacentral:rRNA from 1 species